rnacentral:sRNA from 1 species
UGUUUUUACAUGUGUCAUUUUCCUAUUAGUCCAACAUC